CCACGCCGUAAACGAUGAAUGCUAGGUAUUGGGGGUCAAACCUCGGUGCCGCAGUUAACACAUUAAGCAUUCCGCCUGGGGAGUACGCGCGCAAGCGUGAAACUCAAAGGAAUUGACGGGGACCCGCACAAGCAGCGGAGCAUGUGGUUUAAUUCGAUGCAACGCGAAGAACCUUACCAGGGCUUGACAUAUGGGUGAAAGACGUAGAGAUACGUCCCCUCUUCGGAGCAGCCAUACAGGUGGUGCAUGGUUGU
rnacentral:rRNA from 1 species